AUUGAACGCUGGCGGCAGGCCUAACACAUGCAAGUCGAACGGUAACAGAAAGCAGCUUGCUGCUUUGCUGACGAGUGGCGGACGGGUGAGUAAUGUCUGGGAAACUGCCUGAUGGAGGGGGAUAACUACUGGAAACGGUAGCUAAUACCGCAUAACGUCGCAAGACCAAAGAGGGGGACCUUCGGGCCUCUUGCCAUCGGAUGUGCCCAGAUGGGAUUAGCUUGUUGGUGGGGUAACGUCUCACCAAGGCGACGAUCCCUAGCUGGUCUGAGAGGAUGACCGGCCACACUGGAACUGAGACACGGUCCAGACUCCUACGGGAGGCAGCAGUGGGGAAUAUUGCACAAUGGGCGCAAGCCUGAUGCAGCCAUGCCGCGUGUAUGAAGAAGGCCUUCGGGUUGUAAAGUACUUUCAGCGGGGAGGAAGGGAGUAAAGUUAAUACCUUUGCUCAUUGACGUUACCCGCAGAAGAAGCACCGGCUAACUCCGUG
rnacentral:rRNA from 1 species